UCAUCUCGAAAAAGAUUGAGA
rnacentral:piRNA from 1 species